rnacentral:lncRNA from 1 species
GGAUUAUGGUGGAAAAACGGCUCUGGAUGGAGUUUGGAUUUGGGUUUGGAGGCAUCUCAAGGGGUUUGGGGAACAGGGAUGGACGUGGGGUGGGUGGAGAUGGAGCCGUCCUGGAUUUUCAUGGAUUGGGAGGCUCCUGGUGGAUGAUCCAGGAAAAAAAUUGGGAUUACAGCAGAAAAACAUCUCCAGAAUGGAGCUGGGAUUGGGUUUGGAGACAUCUCAAGGGGUUUGAGGAACAGGUUGGACGUGGGGUGGGUGGAGCUGGAGCCAUCCCGGAUGUUCAUGGUUUAGGAGGCUCCUGGUGGAUGCCGGAUGUUGAUCCAGGAAAAAAAAUUGGGAUUAUGGUGGAAAAACGGCUCCCAACGGAGCUGGGAUGGGUUUGGAGGCAUCUCAAGGGGUUUGAGGAGCAGGGAUGGACGUGGGGUGGGUGGAGAUGGAGCCGUCCUGGAUUUUCAUGGAUUGGGAGGCUCCUGGUGGAUGAUCCAGGCAAAAAAAUGUGGAUUACAGCAGAAAAACUUCUCCAGAAUGGAGCUGGGAUGGGGUUUGGAGGCAUCUCAAGGGCUUUGAGGAACAGGGAUGGACGUGGGGUGGGUGGACCUGGAGCCAUCCUGGAUUUUUGUGCAUUGGGAGGUUCCUGGUGGGUGCUGGGCACUGAUCCAGGAAAAAAACCUGGGAUUAUGGUGGAAAAACGGCUCUGGAUGGAGUUUGGAUUUGGGUUUGGAGGCAUCUCAAGGGCUUUGAGGAGCAGGUUGGACGUGGGGUGGGUGGAGAUGGAGCCAUCCUGGAUUUUCAUGGAUUGGGAGGCUCCUGGUGGAUGUCGAGUGUUGAUCCAGGAAAAAAACCUGGGAUUAUGGUGGAAAAACAGCUCUGAAGAACUCUGGGAUGGGGUUUGGAGGCAUCUCAGGGGGUUUGAGGAGCAGGGUUGGACGUGGGGUGGGUGGAGCUGGAGCCAUCC